rnacentral:rRNA from 1 species
GGCUCAGAUUGAACGCUGGCGGCAGGCCUAACACAUGCAAGUCGAGCGGGGUUUUCGGACCUAGCGGCGGACGGGUGAGUAAUGCGUAGGAAGCUACCCGAUAGAGGGGGAUACCAGUUGGAAACGACUGUUAAUACCGCAUAAUGUCUACGGACCAAAAGUGUGGGACCUUCGGGCCACAUGCUAUCGGAUGCGCCUACGUGGGAUUAGCUAGUUGGUGAGGUAAUGGCUCACCAAGGCGACGAUCUCUAGCUGGUUUGAGAGGAUGAUCAGCCACACUGGAACUGAGACACGGUCCAGACUCCUACGGGAGGCAGCAGUGGGGAAUAUUGGACAAUGGGCGCAAGCCUGAUCCAGCCAUGCCGCGUGUGUGAAGAAGGCCUUCGGGUUGUAAAGCACUUUCAGCGAGGAGGAAGGGGUGGUCGUUAAUAGCGGCUACUCUUGACGUUACUCGCAGAAGAAGCACCGGCUAACUCUGUG